GAACCGGUAUACGGGCGAGAAAAAAAAAAGAAAACAGCCCAGCCAGCCGCAUGACCCUGCCUCACCGCGCGCCGCCGGCCACCCCCCGCCUCACCGUGCGCCGCCGGCCACCCCCCGCCGUUGAGCACCGCCACCGGCUUCCCUCCUCCCAUCAGGAUCCCCGAGCGCCCGACCCGGCCGUCGUUCGUCGCCAGCACCUGCGGAUCCGGCCGCCCUUCGCCUUCCCCGUCGGCUGCACCUCGCAGCGCCGCCGCCCCUGCCAAGCUCCGCCGCUUGGAUCCACAUCCCCAUGGCCGGAACGGGUCCUUCUCGAGGAACCGCACAUCCUCUGCCUGCUCCAACUGCACACGUCCUCUGCUAGGUUGACUCCCGCCGCCUACGACGAUCGCUGCCAUCAGAUCUGCUCCAAUUUGAGCCCCUCGCCCCACUUCCCCGAUCCAGUGGGAUUUCCAUGAGUGUCGUGCAGCAAAUCGGGAAGCAGCAGGGCCCGUCUGGCUGGUGCUCCAGUGAUGAAUUUUGUUGAACUAGGUAAAGCUUUAGAUGUCACACAUGCUCUGAACUUUACUGCACAAGCAUUCGACAGCAUGGUUCUAUUAGUGACCGAGGGAUUUGGAGGUACAGGUACUGAAGGGUAAUGGAUUUGAAGGUUGCUAUAUCUUGAGUUGUCCCAUUGUCUUACUAAAUUCAGGAUUCAACUCAGGAGAGUGUACAGAAUAUGCAGGUUUGUAUUGUUUCCGGUGUAAGUUGGUCAUGCAUCGGAUGUCACUCAGUUUCUAGGAAAUUCAAGAUGGCAUCAAAGAAACAGACAAAUACAGAGAUAAAACUUAAACAAGAGAGAUGUAUGAGGAUGUCGGCGUCUCAUCAAACAUGUGUUGUGUGAGGACACCCUUCGUCCGACCUAAUCUUGACGAUCAUCCGCAGGUACACACAUACAUGUUCUUCCCUGCUGCCUCUUGGUUUAGUUCACAUGCCUUGAAUUACUUUGAUCCUUUUGGUAACAUCAAACUGGGUUGCAUAGAAGUAACUGCUAACUGGGUUUGACCUUUGUGAGGAAUCUACAUCAGCACUUCAAAACUUCCAGGCUGUUUUCAUCGGCAAGCUUACAGCUGACCACAUUAUGGAACUCGAUAAUACAACACUGUACGAUGUACUUGAGAUUCCAAUGGAUACCUGUCGAAGCGAUGUGGUCAUCAGCAUGUAUCCUCUCAAUCUCCUG